GGCUCAGCCCGUGGCGAUUUGUUACCGGAUUGCGGGCCACGUUAAACAUUCCGCUAAAGAGGUCAGGGAUGUAUUGCA
rnacentral:ncRNA from 2 species